rnacentral:rRNA from 1 species
GACGAACGCUGGCGGCGUGCCUAAUACAUGCAAGUAGAACGCAGUUGCGAACGGGUGAGUAACGCGUAGGUAACUGCCUCAUAGCGGGGGAUAACUAUGGGAAACGGUAGCUAAUACCGCAUACUGUGAGAUGGACCUGCGUUGUAUUAGCUUGGUGGUGAGGUAAAGGCUCACCAAGGCGACGAAACAUAGCCGACCUGAGACGGCGAUCGGCCCCACUGGGAGUGGGGACAGGCUCAGAGUCCUACGGGAGGCAGCCAGAGGGAAGCGUGGGCAAUUGGCGGAAGUCCGGACGAGGCACGCCGGGGGAGUGAAUAAGGUUUUCGGGUGGUAAAGCUCUGUUUUUAGGGAAUCGGUACCUAACCAGAAAGGGACGGCUAACUACGUGCCAGCCGCCGCGGUAAUAC